rnacentral:lncRNA from 1 species
CCCAUGAUCUAAGUUGUUUCCCAUCUUUGAAAACAUUCAAUCUAAGUGGAAAUGAUUUUCAUAGUAUCCCUUCAAGCAUUAGCCGGCUCUCUAAACUUGAGGAUUUUCGGUUUGCUGAUUGCAAGAGUCUUCAGGCUUUUCUAAGUCUUCCAUCAAGCAUUUUAUAUCUUAGCAUGGUUGGUUGCACUGCCCUGGAAUCUUUACUACCUAGAAGCAUCAGCAAACAAUUUAAACUUGAAAAUCUGUGUGUUAUGGACUGUAAGAGGCUUCAGUUGUUACCAGAUCUUUCAUCAAGUAUCUUAUAUCUAACUGUGGAUGGAUUGUCUGCAGAAGAAAGUAUUCCAAAUCCAUUCGGAACACAGACUUCAAAAACUUCUUCAUUGACAUUUGUAAAUUUCUUGAAAUUGGUUGAGGUUCAAAGUGAAAACAUUUCGGCUUUUACAAGGCUGACAAGUUAUUUACAUUACUUGCUAAGGCACGGCUCUCAGGUGUGUGUCCCUCUCUCACUUGUUCCUAUUAUCACACAGAUAUAUCCAUCAUAAGUUUUUCUUUAGACAUAAAUAAACUGAUAAUUGAUAAUUUGUGUGCAGGGACUCUUUAAUCCAAACUCUCAGAUAUCUAUGUGUUUAUCUGGAAGUGAAAUUCCUGGUUGGUUCAACUAUCAAUCUACAGGAUCUUCAUUAGAGAUACAGCUGCAUCCAUAUUGGUGGACUAACAAGUGGAUGGGAUUUGCUUUUUGCAUAGAGUUCGGAUUUCAUGAGCCUCCAUCAGAUGUUUCUACUAUUUCUUGUGAUCUGCACGCAUGCAUUUCACCAGACGAAGAUUUGUUUCUGGGUCGUUCAACUGUACAAAUCUCAAAGGACAUAGAUAUUACAUCAGAUCAACUUUGGUUCAACUACAUGCCGCGUAGUUCAUUAACUUGUCUAGAUAAGUGGGAAGCGUCCAAUCACCUCAAGGUUACAUUCUUCUCAGACCAAUUAAGGGUGAAGCAUUGUGGGUUCCGAGCAAUAUACAGUCGAGAUGUUGACGAGUUAGUUCUGUGCAGCAGACCUUUUCAGAAUUUGGGUCUCCCCAUUUAUGAUAAGGUUGAUAAACGAAAGAGGACGCUGGUGGAACAUAAUGAAAGUGGUGAUCCGGAUAAUGAAACGCCUUCUAAGAGACAGAGAACGCUUGUAGUUCCUGAGAUGAAAAUCAGGCGCAAGAACCCAGAAUGAGAAGAGAAAAAUUUGAUGGAAACAUUAUUAAGCAAUGAAUACUGUAAAUGGUAUUGUUAGGCAUUUGAAGUUAAUUGUAUGUUUCUUUUAGUCUUGAAUAAGGGUUGAUGUUGAUGCGAUUGCCUUCAUAUUCAUUGUUCUGUUUUAUACUGACCUCAUUCGUUCUUUUGUGGCUGAAUAUAUAAAUACACCUUGAAUAAUUUUAUAUUACUCUCGAUAUUUACUUUGACCUAUUAAAUUUCAAUUUAUAAAAUUAAAUAUAUUAAAUACUUUAACUUGUAAAAUUAAAUUAAAUAAACAUCUAUUACAUAGUUCCCAGUGUGAAAAUUAUUAUUAUAAAAGUUAUAUUAACUACAUAAAUUAUUGCUAUUAAUAUGUAAAGAUGUAAAAUGUUAAUAAAAGUUUAAAAGUUUAAAUGCACGAUAGUUCGCAGUAUCACGAGAUUAAUUUAUGUAUUUGAACAUUAUUUUGUAGUCCUAAGUUUUGGUUAGAGUUGUGAGCAAGGAAAGAGAAAAUUUUUUGAUAGGCCAAUAAGGGAAACAAAGAGACAAGUGUAGUGGGCAGGACAUGACUUAUUUGGCCAAUUGGAAUUGAAAAAUCUUAUUAUGGGUCCAACAAUUAGACUUUUCAUAUGGAAAAAACCUUGACUACUAGAAGAAGUGAUGGAACCGUUUGUGGAGCACUCAAUACUCGGUUUUGAAUUUUCUCUUUCCAUUUCUGUUCAAAACUGAUGACUCUACUGGCUAGACAUGAUCCAUUACAAUGAUUGCAUUUGCCCUUUUCAUUCUUCAAUUACUACCAUAAAAUAAAAGUUACUCUCCCUAAGCAAGUUCCAUUUGAGUUUAACGGAAAAUAUUAUUUAUAGAUUUUAAAAUAAGAUUAAUCUCGUAUAAAAUAAUAUGAGAAUGCUCAUAAUAAAAUUAAAAAAAAAAUCCCAUGGAUUGGAAUUAUUAAAGUAAUGAUUUUUAGAAGUGAAAAAAAAAAUAAUAAUAGAGCAGAUAGAAUUGGUCAUCCGUCUGAUUUCUCACGCGUUGAAAUGCAGAUUAGGAAAACUUUAUAUGGUCUUUUUUUGAAUGAAGAAACAAUAUAUAAAAUGACAGUCCAAUUUAGAUUUCAGAAAUAGCAUCUGAAACUGAAACCUACGACUUGUUCCUCUUACCAAGACGACCUUGACUGAUGUGAAACGUCAGCACAAGUACAUGUACACAACACUCAACUCAGUUAGGCGACGCGUUUUAAGUUGAAACUUGAAAAUGGCUUCCUUUAAACAUAUCCAUAUAUAUAUAGAUGUAAUUAAUGCUAUCCUAAAACCUCACAUCAUAUAUCAGAAUUCCCUUUUCUUCUAAUAGUAAUAAUUAUUACAUUGUAUCCAUUCUUUUAUACUUUUAUUAAUGGCUUCUGUUACUCUUCCAUGCAAAUAUGAUGUCUUUCUCAGUUUCAGAGGAGAAGAUACUGGAAAGAAUUUUACUAGCCAUCUUUAUUCUGCUUUACAUAAAAAAGGAGUUAUUACCUUCAAGGAUGGCCAUGAUCUCGAGAGGAGAAAAUCUGUUUCUCAAGAAAUUCUUAACGCAAUUCAAGAAUCAAGAAUUUCGAUUGUCAUUUUUUCAAGAAAUUUUGCUUCUUCUAAAUGGUGCUUAGAUGAACUAGUCGAGAUUUCUAAGUGCAUGAAGGAGAAGGGACAAUUAGUGUUGCCUGUUUUCUACAGUGUGGAUCCAUCUGAGGUAAGAAAACAGACGGGCAGAUUUGGAGAAUCUUUUGCUAAGUAUGAGCAAGAAAAUACUGGCAAGGUUCAACAAUGGAGACUUGCAGCAACCCAAUUGGCGAAUCUUAGUGGAUGGGAUUUACAAGACAGGUCAGUUUCAUGUUGUUUUCCCAUCUAUAUAUUUUUUUCUUUCUUUAACAAAGCUCAAUUCCAAUUCCUCUUCUGCAUAAACAACUUAUGCGUUGAUUAAUUGUAAUUAAGAAGACUAAAACUUGCUCUGAUUUAAAACAAACUGAAACAGAAACAUAUAUUUUUUAAAAUAAAAUGAUUUUAUCAAUAAAAAAGAAGUUCUUGAAGUUUUUACUUGCACUCCGUCCUUAUUAGACAAACCUUUUCAAAUUAUAUAUAAAACAAAUCACACCUAACUCUUUAGAUAAUAUUGUUAUCUUAUUGCUCAUUGUUCUCUGUGUGUAAAAGUAUUUCUUACUUUACUACAGGCAGGAGUCAGAGCUUAUUGCAGAAGUUGUUGAAGAGGUAUUAAAAAAAUUAAGGAAAUCAAGUCAUAGAUUCUCAGGUAUAAAAAAGAAUUUAGUUGCAAUGAGUUUACAUAUGGAGGAAAUGAAUUCUUGCUUAGGCGAAGGGAAGUUAGAUGAUGUUCGCUUUGUGGGAAUUUGUGGUAUGGGUGGCAUAGGCAAGACAACAAUUGCUAGAGCUGUCUAUGCAGACAUAUCUAGUGAGUUUGAAGGAAGUUGCUUUCUUGCAAAUGUUAGAGAAGUUGAAGAGAAACAUGGUUUAGUUCGUUUGCAAGAACAACUUCUUUCUGAAAUCCUUAUGGAAAGAAACAUAACAAUUUGGAAUGCUCAUAGUGGAAUAAAUGAGAUAAAAAGCAAGUUACGUCAUAAAAAGGUUCUUAUUGUUCUUGAUGAUAUAAAUCAAUUAAACCAGUUAAAAUCAUUAGCUGGAAUGGUUGAUUGGUUUGGAAAUGGAAGUAGGAUUAUAAUAACUACUAGAGAUGAACAUUUGUUACUAAGCCAUGGAGUGGAGAAAAUUUAUAGAGUUGAAGGACUGGAUCAGGAUGAAGCUUUUCGUCUCUUUUGUUCGAAAGCUUUCAAAAAUGAUUAUCCUACAGAAGAGUUUUUGGAGCUAUCCAACCAUUUUGUAAACUAUGCUAAUGGCCUUCCUUUAGCGCUCGACGUUCUUGGUUCUUUUUUAUUUGGUAGAUCUAUAAAUGAGUGGAGAAGUGCACUGGAAAGGCUAAAGGAAAUUCCCAACAGAGAAAUUUUGGAUAAGUUGUACAUAAGCUUUGAUGGAUUACAGGAAAUAGAGAAGAAAAUAUUCUUGGAUAUUGCUUGCUUUUUCAAAGGGGAAGAUAUAGAUUAUGUGACCAAAGUAUUGGAAAGUUGUGGUUUCUAUCCAGAAAUUGGAAUGAGAGUUCUACUCAGUAAAUCUCUUAUUGCAAUUUCUAAUGAUAGGAUAUGGAUGCAUGACUUGCUUCAAGAAAUGGGCAGAGAAAUUGUUCGACAAUCUUGCUAUGAAGAACCAGGAAAGCGAAGCAGAUUGUGGCUUUACAAAGAUGUUUAUCAUGUCUUGUCGAAAAAUACGGUAAAUAAUUUGUCUUUUCAUACCACAAUGCAACUAAAAACUACUGGUUAGAUAUAUUUUGUUCUCAGUUUUCAUUGUUCUCGUCCUUUAAUGUUUAGGGAACCGAUCAAGUUGAAGGCAUUGUCCUAGAUUCAUGUGAACAAGAAGAUGAACAUUUGAGUGCUAAAUCUUUCAUGAAAAUGAAAAGGCUGAGGCUUCUCAAACUCAAAAAUCUACAUUUCUCCGAGGGUCUUGAGUAUCUUUCUAAUAAGCUCAGAUAUCUUGAUUGGGAUAGAUAUCCUUUCAAAUCUCUUCCAUCCAAUUUCCAACCGGAUAAACUUGUUGAGCUCCAUAUGCGAUGCAGCAACAUUCAACAUCUAUGGAAGGGAAUUAAAGUAUGUAUUAACUAUUUCAUUUUGAGGUCAUUAAUGUUUUGUGCUUCAAUUAUUUAAAUUGAUUUUAUAUACUUCUUCACAGCCUUUGAAGAUGUUAAAGGUGAUUGAUCUUAGUUACUCUGUUAACUUAAUCAAGAUCAUGGACUUCAGAGAAGUGCCAAACCUUGAAAAGCUGAAUCUUGAAGGUUGCACGAGACUAUAUGAGGUAGAUGAAUCCAUUGGAGUUCUUAACAGGCUCACUAUAAUGAAUUUGAAAGACUGCAAAGGUCUUGUCAGGAUUCCAAAUAGCAUAUGCGAUUUGAAGUCACUUAAGGUUCUUAUUUUGCAAGGCUGCUCAAAACUUGACAAAUUGCCUGAAAGGUUAGGAGAUAUGGCAAGUUUGGAGAAGCUUAAUAUCGGCGGAAUAGCUGCGAGAGAACUUACAAAUGCUAAACUAUGGGAUCUUGUUAUUCCUUCAUGGUUAUUGCCAAAGAAGAAUCAAAAUUUGAUUUCUUUUUUGCCCUCUUUGUCAGUUUUAAGCUCUUUGAGAACAUUAGACUUAAGUUACUGCAAUCUGCUGGAAGGAACACUUCCUAAUGAUCUGAGCUGCUUCCCAUUCUUGCAAACAUUAAAUCUAAGCGGAAAUGACUUUGUCAGCAUUCCUACGAGCAUUAUCAGACUUUCGAAACUUGAAGACCUACGGUUUGCUGAUUGCAAGAGGCUUCAGUCAUUGCCAAAUCUUCCAUCUAGUAUUUUGUAUCUCAGUACGCAUGGUUGCUCUUCCUUAGGAGCUUUGCUUCCAAGAACUAUCACUAGCCAUUACAAAUUGGAAAACCUUUGUUUUCCUAAUUGCGAAAGGCUUCAGUCUAUGCCUGGUCUUGCAUCAACUAUUGUCAAUCUAAGUGUUGAAGGUUUAACCGCACAAGAAACUUUCCAAAAUCCACUUAAAAAAGAGGAUUCGAAACAUUCAUCAUUAACUUUCGUGAAUCGCAUCCAGUUGGUUGAGGUUCAAGGCAAAAAUUGCACAGCUUUUGCGAGGGUGACAAGUUACCUGCAUUUCCUGCUAAAGCAUAGCUCCCAGGUUUCUCUCCUUGAACAUAAAUACUUUUUCUUUUUCAAAAUAGACUUUAAGAAAUAAAGAUUAUGACCAACAAUUUUUCAUUUUUAUUUUCUAACAUUAAUGCAGGGAUUAUUUAAUCCAAGCUCUCAUGUAUCAAUGUGUUUAGCUGGAAAUGAAGUACCUGAAUGGUUCGACUAUAUGGGCAUGGGAUCUUCAUUAGAAGUGGAGCUGCCUCCAUAUUGGUAUAGUAACAAGUGGAAGGGGUUUGCAAUUUGUGUAGUUUUCGAACCCAAUGCGCUUUCAUUAUCGGAAACUGCUAGUCUUUCCUGUGAUUUGCACGCAUAUAUGUCAGAUCAACCAUUAUUUCUAGGUCGCCAAAGCACAGAAAUCUCAGGGGAUACUGCAGGCAAUAUGGCAGAGAAAAUUUGGUUCAACUUCAUACCAGGCAGCUCUUUAAACGGUGUAGCUUGGGGUGAAGCAUGUAGAAAAAUAAAGAUGACAUUUUUUUCAAAUGGAUUGGAGGUGAAGUACUGUGGGUUUCGCAUAAUAUAUGAGCACGAUGUUGGUGAAUUAAUCCAAUGCAACAGGCUUGAGAACUUGGGUUUCCCCUGUCAUAACAAUUCUGCUCCAAGCAAGAGAAGCCAUGAUGAUUAUUGCAGUGACAGUAUCGAUAGUGAAAGUGGCAACUUUGUUAAGAGAAUGAAAAUGCCUUGAAGUUACACUGUGACAAUGAUACUCUCAAUCUCUAUACUCUGGAAGAUUGGUUGUCAGUUUUUAAGUUGCAUGGAACUAGAGUACUCGUGCAAAUUAAACUAAAGUAUAUAUAUAAUAUAUGUUUAGUUUAAUUUUUAUUCUUUUUUUCUAUAUCGAUAUCCAUAAAGACGAAGUUUGCAUCAUAAAUAAUGUUUGAAAUGCAAGCUGUUUUAUUAAAUAGGAAAAGUUUAUUUCAUAGCUAACGUUGUUAUUAAAAAAACUAAUGUUUACAUUCCAAAGGAUGAGACGAGAUUUUAGAUAUUUUUUUCCUUUAAUCAGAAGUUUUGAAUUCAAGCCUUGAGAGUAUAAAGUCUCUUUAGACACUAAAGAAAACUAAUUCUUUAAAAUAAUAAUAUUAUUAUUGGCUGGUUGAAGCAUAUUUUAUUCUCCUUAUGAAUCAUAUAACAAGAACUUUUAACGAAUAUAUUAAUAAUAUCACUAUUAAUAAUAUCGCGCUUGUAAACUCUAAAAGUAUAUUAUUUUUUUCAUCAUUUAUUUUAUAAGUUAAAUAUACAUCCAUAAUAUACAUAUAUAUAUAUAUAUAUAUAUAUAUAUAUAUAUAAAAUAUUUUGAGGCUUUGACUAACUUAAUCCUUAUCAACAAUAGAUUCUUCUUUGGCUUUCCUUUAAUUUUAAAGCAUUUAUUAAGUGCCCGCGUGAAAGCAUUUUGGCUUCUUUCAUAUUUUAUAUCUUUUCAUAUGUUAAUUAUUUUAUAGCGAAACAAGAACAAGCCAAAGAGCAAAUGAAAAACAAACAUUUUCUAAAUCUGCUUGUAUCAUGGAGCGGAUUUGAUUGUGUAACAUUCGAAGAGAUCUACAAACAUAGUAGGAAACGAAAAAGGAAACUUUCUCAUGGCUUCUGCUGCUGCUGCACAAGAAUGGAGAUAUGAUGUGUUCCUUAGUUUCAGAGGUGCAGACACUCGAAAAAAUUUUACUAGCCAUCUGUAUAAAGAUUUGACUGGAAAGGGAGUCGUCACCUUCAAGGAUGAUAGAGAACUUCCAAAAGGAGAGUCCGUGCCUCAACAGCUCCCUAAAGCAAUACAAGAUUCAGGAAUCUUGGUUGUCAUUUUCUCACAAAAUUAUGCUAAUUCCACUUGGUGUUUGGAUGAACUCGUAAAAAUUUUUGAAUGCAAGAAAGCUGGGAGGCAGACCGUUUUGCCUAUUUUCUAUGAUGUGAGUCCACAUGAUGUGCGAAAGCAGGAUGGUAAAUUUGGAGAACCCUUCACUGAGUAUGAAAAACUUUUCAAAAACAACUUUCAGAAGGUCCAAGAAUGGAGAGGUGCAUUAACGGAGGUGGCCAACCUCUCUGGAUGGCAUCUAGGCGACAGGUUGGAACAACUUCUUUCUUCUUUUUUUAAUUUUUAGACCCUUUCCUUGUUCACUAUUCUCAUUAAGUUCUUGCUGCUUUUGAUUAAUCAGAUUACUCUACAUUUAAUUAAAUUGGAAAACAUUAACAGUUCUAGACACAGCUUUUACUAACAAAAAAAGUUCUAAAUGGUAUUAAUGAAAGUCAAUAAUUACUUAUUGUUAGGGAAAAGAGACAGAAAAUUAAGAAAAGACAGAUCUGGAACUAUAUAUAAAAUACUAGAAAUUUUUUUUCUUUUCUCAUUGAUCCAUACAUAUUCUUGAAAAAAAACUAAUUUAAAACAUGACUUCUAUUUAAUUUAUAUUUUUCUGAACAUAACACCUCUGCCAUUACAGGGAUGAGUCAGAGUUUAUUCAAGAUAUUGUUGAGGCCAUACUUAGACGAUUCAGAAGAUCAAGUCAUAGCAUUGCCAAGGAUUUUGUGGGAAUGGAGUCUAGGUUGGAGAAAAUGUAUGAUUCUUUGGACCUAGAGCAAUUGAAUAAAGUUCGAAUUAUAGGGAUAUGUGGGAUGGGAGGAAUAGGUAAAACAACUAUUGCUGGUGUUGUUUACAAGGAUAUUCGUUGGCAAUUUGAAGGUAGUUGUUUCCUUGGAAGUGUUAGAGAAUCUUUUGAAAAAAAUGGUAUAGUUUUUUUACAGAAACAACUUCUAUCUGCAACACUAAUGUAUGACGGCAUACCAGUAUAUGAUGUUUAUGGAGGAACUGAUGAGAUAAGAAAUAGAUUUUGUCGUAAAAGGAUUUUGGUCAUUCUUGAUGAUGUAGAUCACCUGGAGCAAUUAGAGUCAUUGAUUGGAAGAAGGGAUGAAAAUUGGUUUGGUAUUGGAAGUAGAGUCAUAAUAACAACAAGAGAUGAACAUUUAUUGAAACAAUAUGGAGUAGAUGAGACAUACUGUGUUGAGGGGUUAAAUUAUGAAGAUGCUUUUGAACUCUUUUGCUCAAAAGCCAUCAAGAAUAAUUCUCAGGAGGAGGAAUACCGAGAGCUUUGUCAUGAGUUCGUAGAAUAUGCCAGCGGCCUCCCUUUAGCUCUUAAAGUUUUAGGUUCAUCUUUGUUUGGUCAAUCUGUGAAGGAAUGGAACAAGACAUUAGAUAAAUUGAAAAAAAUUCCAAAUGAAGAAAUUCUAAGCAAGCUUCAAUUAAGUUAUGAUGGGCUUGACAGAACAUCACAAGAAAUAUUCCUUGAUAUUGCAUGUUUCUUCAAAGGAAUGGAGACAGAUUAUGUGUUAAAAGUACUAGAAAGUUGUGGAUUCUUCCCAGAUAGUGGAGUAGGAGACCUCAUUGAUAAAUCUCUCAUAACUAUUUAUUAUGGACGUGUGUGGAUGCAUGAUUUGAUUCAAGAAAUGGGAAGAGAAAUUGUUCAUAAAGAAUCUCGUGAAAAUCCAGGGCUACGUAGGAGAAUAUGGCUUGACAAGGAUGUCUCUCACAUUCAAGUGAAGAACAUGGUAAGCAAUACUUUGUAGUUACAGACUAUAUUCCAUUCAAUAACUUAAAAUUUUGAGAUAUCUGAUUUUAUGUUUGUCUCUUGUUUCUUAUAUACCUUCGAUUGUCAGGAAGCAAAUGUUAAGGCUAUAGUCUUGCAUUCCUGGAAACAAGAGGAACAAUUGAAUGCUAAACUCUUCUCCAGAAUGAAAGAGCUAAGAUUACUCAUACUCCGAGAUGUACCCGCGUCUCAGGAUAUUGAAUAUCUUUCCAAUGAAUUAAGGUAUUUGGAAUGGUAUAAAUGUCCUUGUAAAUCUUUUCCAUCAAAUUUUCAACCAGGUAAACUUGUCGAGCUCCAUAUGAAAUGCAGCAAUAUUGAACAACUAUGGAAGAGAUCAAUUAAAGUAAGUGUUUCUUUAUUUCUUUAUUUUAGUGUCUAUUACAAUGUCAUGAUAUAUAUGUAUAAUACAUUUUUUUUUGGUAUAUCUUGUUACAGCCCGUUAAUGAGUUGUUGAAGGUCAUUGAUCUUAGUUACUCAAGAAGUCUAAUCAAGACCCCGGACUUUCAAGGGCUCCCGAAUCUUGAGGAGUUGAAUCUUGAAGGGUGUGAGAGCCUGCGUGAAGUACACCAAUCUAUCGGAGUUAUGAAAAGGCUUGUUUUUCUGAACCUGAAGAACUGUAGAAACCUUGUGGCUCUUCCGAGUAGCAUGUGUAACUUGAAGUCCCUUCAGACUCUUAUCUUGAGUGGUUGUUCAAAACUUAUAAAACUUCCAGAUAGGUGGGAGGAUAUGACCUGUUUGGAGAAGCUUGAUGCAACUGGGAUUGGUAUGGAACAAUUGGAAUUAGCUGAACAAUGGGAUUUCCAUCUCCCACCAUGGCUGAUGUCUUGGACUUGGAAGAAUCCACAUCCUAUGGCAAUUGUGUUUUCUUCAGGUUUACCCGCUUUGAAAGAACUAAAUGCAAGUUACUGCAAGCUCCCAGAACGAGCAAUUCCCAAUGACCUCAGUGUCUCCUUCCCCUUCCUGGAACGUCUCGAUCUAAGUGGAAAUAAUUUUGUAAGCUUACCAUCAAGCAUCAGUAAUCUUUCCCAUCUUGAUUCUCUCGAAGUAUCUAAUUGCAAGAGGCUUCAGUUAUUGCCAGAUCUUCCAUCGACAAUUACAAGUCUACAUGCCAAUAAUUGCACUUCUCUGGAAAAUCUUCCAAAUGUAUCUGAAAAACAAAAUAAUCCGGUGAAUAUUUUGAUGGAAUUCUCAAAUUGCUCCAAAUUGAAUGAUAAUUAUCAAGGGAAUAUCAAAGCGGCAUUUACAUGGUUGAAAAGUCACCUUCUUUUUCUUCUAGCAAGUCGUUUGGUGCUUAGCAUGCGACAUGAAAGAUGUUGCCCUGAGGUAUCUCUCUCAAAUCAUUCUUUCCUUUCCUUUUUAUCCCAAUGAACUUUUUUGUGCGUGUCAAGUACUAAUAAAAUAUAGGUAAUAAUUGUUCAUGCAGAAAGGGUACUAUCUAGGUGAGCCACAUUCGCUCAUGUUCCUUGACAUCUCUAUGCGGUUCCCUGGGAGCGAAAUUCCUGAAUGGUUCAACUGUCAGAGUUCCAGCAAUCCGCUGACACUACUCCUACCUCCAUGUGAAAAGUGGUGGAACAUUGCAGGUUUUGUUAUUUGUGUUGUGAUUUCAGGAAAAGCAGUUUAUGACUGUGUUGAGGGGUUAAAUUAUGAAGAUGCUUUUGAACUCUUUUGCUCAAAAGCCAUCAAGAAUAAUUCUCAGGAGGAGGAAUACCGAGAGCUUUGUCAUGAGUUCGUAGAAUAUGCCAGCGGCCUCCCUUUAGCUCUUAAAGUUUUAGGUUCAUCUUUGUUUGGUCAAUCUGUGAAGGAAUGGAACAAGACAUUAGAUAAAUUGAAAAAAAUUCCAAAUGAAGAAAUUCUAAGCAAGCUUCAAUUAAGUUAUGAUGGGCUUGACAGAACAUCACAAGAAAUAUUCCUUGAUAUUGCAUGUUUCUUCAAAGGAAUGGAGACAGAUUAUGUGUUAAAAGUACUAGAAAGUUGUGGAUUCUUCCCAGAUAGUGGAGUAGGAGACCUCAUUGAUAAAUCUCUCAUAACUAUUUGUUGUGGAAGUGUGUGGAUGCAUGAUUUGAUUCAAGAAAUGGGAAGAGAAAUUGUUCAUAAAGAAUCUCGUGAAAACCCAGGGCUACGUAGUAGAAUAUGGCUUGACAAGGAUGUCUCUCACAUUCAAGUGAAGAACAUGGUAAGCAAUACUUUGUAGUUACAGACUAUAUUCCAUUCAAUAACUUAAAAUUUUGAGAUAUCUGAUUUUAUGUUUGUCUCUUGUUUCUUAUAUACCUUCAAUUGUCAGGAAGCAAAUGCUAAGGCUAUAGUCUUGCGUUCCUGGAAACAAGAGGAACAAUUGAGUGCUAAAGUCUUCUCCAGAAUGAAAGUGCUAAGAUUGCUCAUACUCCGAGAUGUACCCGCGUCUCAGGAUAUUGAAUAUCUUUCCAAUGAAUUAAGGUAUUUGGAAUGGUAUAAAUAUCCUUGUAAAUCUUUUCCAUCAAAUUUUCAACCAGGUAAACUUGUCGAGCUCCAUAUGAAAUGCAGCAAUAUUGAACAACUAUGGAAGAGAUCAAUUAAAGUAAGUGUUUCUUUAUUUCUUUAUUUUAGUGUCUAUUACAAUGUCAUGAUAUAUAUGUAUAAUACAUUUUUUUUGGUAUAUCUUGUUACAGCCCGUUAAUGAGUUGUUGAAGAUCAUUGAUCUUAGUUACUCAAGAAGUCUAAUCAAGACCCCGGACUUUCAAGGGCUCCCGAAUCUUGAGAAGUUGAAUCUUGAAGGGUGUGAGAGCCUGCGUGAAGUACACCAAUCUAUCGGAGUUAUGAAAAGGCUUGUUUUUCUGAACCUGAAGAACUGUAGAAACCUUGUGGCUCUUCCGAGUAGCAUGUGUAACUUGAAGUCCCUUCAGACUCUUAUCUUGAGUGGUUGUUCAAAACUUAUAAAACUUCCAGAUAGGUGGGAGGAUAUGACCUGUUUGGAGAAGCUUGAUGCAACUGGGAUUGGUAUGGAACAAUUGGAAUUAGCUGAACAAUGGGAUUUCCAUCUCCCACCAUGGCUGAUGUCUUGGACUUGGAAGAAUCCACAUCCUAUGGCAAUUGUGUUUUCUUCAGGUUUACCCGCUUUGAAAGAACUAAAUGCAAGCUACUGCAACCUCCCAGAAGGAGCCAUUCCCAAUGACCUCAGUGUCUCCUUCCCCUUCCUGGAACGUCUCGAUCUAAGUGGAAAUAAUUUUGUAAGCUUACCAUCAAGCAUCAGUAAUCUUUCCCAUCUUGAUUCUCUCGAAGUAUCUAAUUGCAAGAGGCUUCAGUUAUUGCCAGAUCUUCCAUCGACAAUUACAAGUCUACAUGCCAAUAAUUGCACUUCUCUGGAAAAUCUUCCAAAUGUAUCUGAAAAACAAAAUAAUCCGGUGAAUAUUUUGAUGGAAUUCUCAAAUUGCUCCAAAUUGAAUGAUAAUUAUCAAGGGAAUAUCAAAGCGGCAUUUACAUGGUUGAAAAGUCACCUUCUUUUUCUUCUAUAAGUCGUUGGGUGCUUAGCAUGCGACGUGAAAGAUAUUGCCCAAAGGUAUCUCUCUCAAAUCAUUCUUUCCUUUCUUUUUUAUCCCUAUGAACUUUUUUGUGCGUGUCAAGUACUAAUACAUUAUAGUUAAUAAUUGUUCAUGCAGAAAGGGUACUAUCUAGGUGAGCCACAUUCGCUCAUGUUCCUUGACAUCUCUAUGCGGUUCCCUGGGAGCGAAAUUCCUGAAUGGUUCAACUGUCAGAGUUCCAGCAAUCCGCUGACAAUACUCCUACCUCCAUGUGAAAAGUGGUGGAACAUUGCAGGUUUUGUUAUUUGUGUUGUGAUUUCAGGAAAAGCAGUUUAUGAUGGAGAGCGACCUUGUAAAUUUAUACUGUAUGAGGAAAACAAGGAGGUUUGGAACAACUACCUUAGUCUUAAAUUCCCUUCAAACGAUGUGCCUCUUACAUCAGACCAUCUUUACAUCUUCUCUGUUGCCAAUCCCAUUCCCAUUAAAUACCCUUCAUAUGUGCGUUUUGAAUCAGGCCACUGUUACAGCUCCCCUGAUGCCAGUCCCAUUCCCAGAGAUCCUCAUGAAGAACAAGGUGUAACUAAGGUCGAGCUAACUUUCGAUGAAAAUGUAAUCAAAAGCUGUGGAAUACGCAUUGUACGUGCGAACGAAUUAAACGAAUUAAUCCAAAAAAGAAAACCUUCAAAAGAAGAUACAGAGUUGGGAUUGAAGUCAAAGAGGGAGAGGAAGAUAAGUUGGUAUCUGGAAUUAAUUGAUAGCUCAAGUGCCAAUCCGAUUCCCAUAGAUCCUUGUGAAGAACAAAGUGUAACUGAGGAUACAGAGUUUGGAUUCAGGGAAUUGAGGCGUUCGUAUCUGGAACUAAUCGAUACAGUAAUUUGGAAGACGACACGGAGUUGGGAGAGGAAGUUAACAAGUUAUUCGAGUGAUAGUGGGAAAUAUGUGUUUACAGAAAUAGUGGGUUAUAACAGGGAGUUGGGAAUAAGGGAGUUAAAUCAGUUAAUAGAUACUUCUACUCUGACGCUUUCAUAUUCGAGAUUACAUUUUACAGGUUUGAAAUCAAUAUUUUCGGACAUGGGAAUAACAGAAUCACGUGAUACUGAUGAUAUUGAUGAUUCUAUUGUGACUUCUAUUACGAGGCCUUGGUAUCAGAAAUUAAUUGAUACUGUGAUUUGGAAGAAGGGGAGACAACGCAGAGACGUUCGUAUUUGGUAUGAGUGAGUGAUGAAGUUUCUGUUAAUUGACGUUAAAUCAGAAAACUAUUUGGAGUUUUGGAUAAUGGUGGCAGUUAGUUAGUUAGUUGGAAGUACAGUUAGCAUAUCCUACUGAGAUAUCCUUUGAUGCUAUUAUGCUCGUAGAAUCUUCUUCUUCCUCAUAUUUGCUACUACAUUAUUAAAAGACAGACAAAACAAUGUUAACCAUUCAAUUGGUAGUUGCAGUGAUUGUACAUAGACUUGGUCGUAGAUGAUUUACACUACCACCUAACAGUCAUGUAUUGUUUUGCUGGUUACUGGUUAGAUACAAUGCAAACCAUAAAUACGUGGCAAGGCUGUCGCUUUCAUGGAUAAAACCAAGCCAAUCCCUUUACCUUCUAUUUAUCACUCUAUUUUACCAUUAUUUACAUUUAUGCCCCUAUACUCUUUUUUUUUUUUUUUGUUCCUCUUUAUAAACAACACGUUGUUGAAUUUGAAAAGCUAAAUUAGGAUGGACUUUCACUUUGCAAGAAAAAUUUCUACACUAAAAUAUUGUCUUAAUGUUAAUAUUUUUAUUUCAAUUCAAUAAAAGAAAAUCAAAACUUAAUUCUCAUCUAAAUAUCUUCUCUCAUUUAAUAUUCUUCCAUGAAAGUGUAUUUAAAAUAGUAAUUAGAGAUGUAUUACUGCGAAUUAUAUUUAAUUGUUAACAAAUAAUCAUAUUUUAUUUUUAUUAUUUUUACUUAAAAUUUAAUAAAAUUAUACUUAGAAUAUAAAAUAAAUAUAGAUUCAAAAUUUUGUUAAAUGUAAAUUGAACUAUAUUUCAAGUUUAAUUGAUUAACUGCUGAAACAAACUGUUUCUAAUAUUUUCAUGAUUAAUUCUAAAUAGUAAUUACAAAAAAAAGAGUAGUGGAACGAGUAUUUAUUCAUAAAUCAGAAAGGCGGCCUAAUAAAUUAAAAGUACAAGGACCAAAGUACAAAAUUUGGUCCACAGUCUCCAUUGUUCUCGUAUCUACCCGUUUUUGUCCAAAAACUCUAGUCUAUUUCAAUUUGACCAACUGCAAACACACUGUCACUGCAAGCUAGCAUUUUCUUGCCGCUCUUGCUCCUUUGUGAUCCCAAUCCAGAGUCAUUGUCCGCGUCAAGCAAAGGAUGCUGCUAGAUUGCGGUUUCUGCCCUUGUUUCGGAAGUCCGAACGCCGUGGAUAGUGAACCCGACCGUGACCCAAUCCUACUAGUUUCCGGAAUCGGAGGGUCUAUUCUCAAUUCCAAGAGCAAAAAGUUCGGGUUCUCGACCCGGGUUUGGGUCCGGAUUCUUUUAGCUGACUAUGAGUUCAAGAAGAGAAUAUGGUCUCUUUAUAAUCCCAAGACAGGUAUCAUUUUCUUUUCAUGUAUGCACGUAUCGUAUUUGGUUGCUAUGAAUAAAAAAACAAAAAAGGAUUUUGUGUACUAGUAUUGCUAUUUAACUUUUAUAAUAUGCAAAAGAUUUUAAAUUUUUGGUGAACAAAGUUUGAACCUUUAAGGUAAAAUCUGCUCAAAUUUAAUUUAAAUUUUGCGGUUUGGUGGAUAUGAUACUGUUUAUUUUUCCAAUGGCUUAAUUUUGAACUUAUUGUCAAUGCUUACAGGCUUGCCUGGUUUGUUAGCUUAUGUUUUACAGUUCUAAGGUUUCUUGUCCACUUUUCGUCUUCUUUUCCAGGUUGUACAGAAGUAUUGGAUGAUAGCACUGAACUCGAAGUCCCUGAUGAUGAUUAUGGGCUGUAUGCAAUUGACAUUUUAGAUCCGUCAUGGGUAAGAUUGAUAUUGUUCAUUGUCAUUUGUCUUUAACUUAGCAAUUACUGAAGAAGUUGUUUUUUACGCAAAGUUUCUCUCUUUGCACUCUAGCACGGUUUACUGCAAUUAAGGGGAAAGAAUUGCAGUACUAGUAAGAUUGAUAUUGUUCAGUUCUAUUGAUAUUUACUUAAUUAUAAGUUCUUUUACUGCAUAUGUCACUAUCUUCUUAGUAUCACAUACCCGAAACAGUAUUUUUCUGUUAUAUGUUGCUGAUGUAAAAUUCGUCCAUGUUCCAGUUUGUUAAAUGUAUGCACUUGACAGAGGUAUAUCAUUUCCAUGAUAUGAUUAAUAUGUUCAUUAAAUGUGGAUAUAAGAAGGGAACCACACUAUUUGGACAUGGCUAUGAUUUCCGGCAAAGCAAUAGGUAAGCUAUUUUCCACUCAUUUUAUGUGUGUGUGUAUUAAGUUGUUUUUUCAGCUGUCAUCUGUCAUGUUACUAUAUCUUUUGCAGCUUUACAUAAAUUUAAUAUUGUCUGACUACUCUUUUAAGGUUUUUACAUAUUAUCUAUAGUUAAUUUCAGGCCAUAAGUUUUUUUAUUAUUGGCAGAAUUGACAAAUUAAUGGAAGGACUUAAAUCAAAGCUGGAAACUGCUUAUCAAGCUUCUGGGCAUAGAAAAGUUAAUAUAAUUUCGCAUUCAAUGGGCGGACUGCUAGUGUCAUGUUUCAUGUCACUUCAUGCAGAUGUAUGCAUAAUGUUUCCUGAAGCACUGUCAUGUUUCAUGGAACAUCAUGGAUAGAAGUAUAAUCCCUUCAUUGGGCAUAAAGGGGCAUUAUCAAUUUAUUUUUUUAACUUGUUUAUUGCAGGUGUUUUCAAAGUUAGUGAACAAAUGGAUCUGCAUUGCAACCCCUUUUCAAGGUACUAUAAAUUACAUAAUGUUUUUGAGCAGCAAACAUGCAUUAAACAGAGAUGUUAGUUUCCUGAAAAUAUAUCUUCAUUAUUAACUUUUGUUUGUUUUAGAUAUGUUCUUAGUUGUUUAUAAGACCUCCUCCUUUUCGUAUUCAAACCUUUUGCGCGUGAAAUCUAUGAUGUAUGCCAUGGCUUACCCUCUAAUUGAAUUGAAUUGUAGGGAAGGUCGAUAAUAUGGACCCUAAUAAUCUAAUUCCAGUCUUCUUUGUUACAAUUUGAUAUUUUUUUUUCCUGAUUUUUCUUUCUCGUAGUUUUGAAUUAUUAAAUCAAACUUGAGAAUUGAUUUCAUAAGCUAACAGGUGCACCGGGAUGUAUCAAUGAUUCCUUGUUAACUGGGUUACAGUUCGUUGAAGGCUUUGAGAGCUACUUUUUUGUAUCUAGAUGGACAAUGCACCAGCUGGUAAUUUUCUUUUCUGGCACUUGGGCUGGUCAUAUGUAACUUAAGUGUUAGAUGAUCUCUUAGUUUUCUUUGUGCAUAAUAUUGUGAUGAUAUUUGGUGAAAAAUUCAUUUGUGGAUGUGCUUGUCCUUUUUGCAUAUAGUUGGUUGAGUGCCCAUCAAUCUAUGAAAUGCUAGCAAAUCCAUAUUUUAAUUGGAAAAGACAACCGCAAAUUCAAGUUUGGCGAGAGCAAUCAGAUGGUGAUGAAACUUCUAUCGAGUUGGAGUCCUAUGGUCCACUUGAUAGUAUCACUUUCUUCCAGGAAGCAUUGAAGAAUAAUGAGGUAACGUUUUUUAUUCUUGCAAACAAUCUUAGAUUUGGUCAUGUCAUAACAUGGUCUGUAUGCUGGGGUUUUGGUAAAAGUAUAUAGUUUAGCAUCAAGAUAUCUGUAUCCACUCCUUGUUGAUGCAUGGACAAGUUAGAGAAUAAGCUACAACUGAACAAACUUACUCAAUAACGGCAAAUUGUGGAAAGAAGGGCCAUGAAUGGAUUUGAGGUCGAAACGGUGACACCUUUUUUCUUUGCUCUCUCUCUCUCUCUCUCUCUCUCUCCCUCUCUCUCUCUCUCUCUCCCUCUCUCUCUCUUUUAAGUUCCAUUUCCAACAUUAGAAAGGUAUCCAAACAAGAAAAAAGCAGAUGAAGAAGUUAAAGGAACCAUUUUGAUUGUCAUCUGGCUUUUUGUUUAGAUCUGUAAUUUGCAUUCCUUAUUUUCACACCAGCUAUAUUUUGAUUACUUUUUUCUUGCUUUUGUAGCUAACUUAUGAUGGAAAUACAUUUGCUCUACCAUUUAAUUUUUCCAUCCUCAAGUGGGCUGCUGGUACGCGCCAGAUUCUCAAUGAUGCUCAACUGCCAAAAGGAGUUUCCUUCUAUAACAUUUAUGGGAUAUCAUUUGAUACUCCUUUCGAUGUUCGGUAUGAUUUACUUUGGGAAAUGAGUUAAAUUUUAUGUGGUGCUAAUGUUCUUUAUUUGAGCUGCUUUGAUGUAUCUAUACAUAAUGCAGAUACGGUACAGAGACCUCUCCAAUCAAGGAUUUGUCUGAAGUCUGUCACACUUUGGUAAGUGGUUAAUGUGCAGAUGACUACAUGAUGCUACUAAAACAGUCAUCCUACAUAAGAUUGCUAUUUUAACCUCUUUGAGGCACGGACACGGACCCAGAACAUGACAAUAACACAAUCCUGACAUGAAAAUGCAGCUAUUUUUUGAGAAAAUAACAGAUGAUAGGUGUGCUUCUUCAUAUAUGAUCCAGAUGUAGUUAUGGUCAUAAUAGUUUAAACUUGAUAAGCUAAUGUAAUUCUCUCUUGAUAUAGUAUUUCAUAGUCUUGAUUUACCUGUUAUCUUAGACCUAGGACACAAUUUCUUGUUUCAUAUAUAACUCCUGUUUUUCUGAAAAAUAAUUUGUCACAGCCCCAUUAUUCUUAUGUGGACGGAGAUGGAACCGUUCCGUCUGAAUCAGCUAAGGUAUUGUCCCAAACCUUUCACUCAGGCAUUUAUAUUCAACCUAAAAGCAUUUUUCAAAGGAUGUUGCUUUUAUUUCCUGUACCUUGAUUAAAUACCAAUGGUCUUUCCAUUCCUCAGGCGGAUGGAUUCGAGGCAGUUGAGAGAGUAGGAAUUGCUGCAACUCACCGUGGACUGCUACGCGACAAACAAGUAUUUCAACUUAUCCAAAAAUGGUUAGGAGUUGAGAAUAAGCAGAAGCUGGCUAAGCAUUCAAGGACAUCCAGAGUAAUGGAUGCUUCUUCAACUUCUCAUGUUAAUGCAUGAACAUAUUUUCUGCUUGAAAAUAUAUGCAUUCUGUAUUCAAUAUUCAUUUGUUCAUGGAGGCCUUAUUCUGUAUGAGUACAGUGGCAAAAUUUGUUGUUGAGAGAGUAAUAUGCUCAAUUUACUUCCAAGUACAUAAAGAAUCGCUUAUCUAGACUUUGAAGUCUCAAGCGCAAUAUACACAGUAACAGUUUAAUUAGUUGGUACCAAUUAGUCAGAAAAAACAUAAAUAAUAAAAAAUUAGAUCGACUUAUGAGGUCCAAAGAAUCUGGGCCUAAUUGUGGGCGGACCCUGGCCCAAAGAGAGAAGCAUUUGAAAAAAAAAAAAAAAAAAAGAAGUAAUAUUUUAUGUUACUGUGUGAAUGUUUAUGGGUCAGAAGUCAGAAAAUAGAUAAGUUGGUUCCUUAAAUAAGCAAAAGAAACCACACCAACCAAAUGGGAUAAUAUUAAUUUCUUCAGUACCUAGAAAUUUAAGUAAAUUUUCCCUAAUUAAGCAAUAAAAAGUUUGACAAAUUGCAUGAUUAACAUGUACAGUUUGAAGCCAGCAGAGACAAAUUAAGUAAUAAAAUGAUAUAUUGAUGGAAUCGGGCGGUGAUUAAUUAAGUAAUAUAUAUAUAAAAAAUAUUAUAAAAGGAACAGAAACAUUUCUAAUUAGUAUAAUUAGAUAGACGCAAGUAGGCCCUAUAGGCUAUACACCAACUAUUUUGACUUAUCCUAAUUUAAUUUUACAGUUGGUGUAAUCUGUAAUGUAUUAAGAUCACCUUAAUUAAAUCACACGCAACAAUAUGCACCUUGCUUGCUUGGUGUAAUGUGAAUGUUCAUGCAUAUGUUUACACAUGCCAAGGCCUUAUUGGGGGAGAAGAUCAAUUUAGGGCAUUGGGGUACCAAUAAUGAUUCAACCCUUUAAUCUAAGACCAUAUUUAUAUAAUUUCAAGAAAUAUAUAUAAUAUUAUUUCAAGAUUAAAGUUCUGUUCGAUAAAAUCAGUUGUUCUAAUAGUUAUCGAUUGUUUUAAUAGCUGCAGUUAUUUCUAGAAGUUAUUGGUUAUUUUAAUAACUGUCAGCUGUUUUUGAAUAUUAGAAGACUUAUACAUCGCUCAACUCUAAAACUUACUUAGUAUUGGCGUUUGAUCUCUUCUAUAUUUCAAGAAUAUGUGUUUUAAAUUUACAUAGGGUUUUGAAAUUUAAAUGGAAUAUGGAGUUAAAAGAUAGUAUAAACAUAAUUAGCAAAGUCCAAGUCAAAAAAGUUUGAAUCCCAACCCUACUUAGGGUUUUGAAAAUAAAAGAAAGAGACGAGAAUGAGCAUUCCUAGGAGUUGUUAGCUUAUGAGAGGAUUCUAUUUGAGAUAGUAUAGAGACAGUCACAGACACGCAUGAGUCUUGUACUAAUAUUUUAACUCUAAAUGCUGCCAUUACACAAAAUAUUUUAACUCUCUUUCUCCUUUGACUUGACUUGUUCUUAUAUAUAUAUAUAUAUAUACAUGUAUAUACGUUGAUAUUGAAACGGGUAAAAAAAGAAAAAGAAAAAGAAAAUGGAGGACAAAGAACUGGGUUCUUUUUGAUCUCUAAAAAGGAAGAGCUUUUGUUUUUCUUUCUUGGAAAUGCCCUGAUGAGAGUUGGAGAAGAGGUGGGAAAUGGGAUUUGGUAUCAUACAGAUAGAGAUAGAGUAAAGAAGAGAAGAGAAGAGAAGAGAACGUAUAGUUUCCGAGGAGGCACGGGUGGGUGCUCCGCUGAUUUCUCCAAUGCAAUCCCAGUUCCCACUGGCUCUUUCUUUGGUUUUUGAGCUUUGUCAGUAUAUUUUAGAGUAUAAUUCUUGUACUGUUCUGUAGCCACAAAAAUAGUCCAAUAUAGUAUAUCUUCCCAAUAUAAAAUCAUAAAAAACGUUCAAUUUUUUUUUUUUAAAAAAAAAAAUUGUUUUAUUAGUUCUUCUGCUAAUUUUAAAUAAGUGACAAAACUAUCUAUUUGAAGAGUGACAUAAUCACAUUCUAAUAUUAGCCUGCCUGACUGUGAUCCAUAAUUUUAAAUUGGAAGUCGAAGCAUUGCAGCAGUGUUCUUAGAAAUACUUGUUUAGAUAUAUUAUAUACAUAUAUAUAUAUUUAUUUGUAUAGACUUAAUAUCCGGUGGGUUUAACUCUUUAUACUAGCUAAUAGUUGGUCGUCGAUAGAAUUCGUUAAGAUUGUUUCAUCUAAAGUUCACAAAGAGAGCAUUUGGCUCAGUCGAUUCAUAUUAAUGUUCAUUAUCUACUAACUGCCACCUAUUAAAGAAAUGAGCUCUUAGUUAUAUUUGUUCAGUAAAAUUAAUUUACUCACUCAAACUCUGAAUAUUGUUAUAAAUGUUAUAUUAUCAAAUACCGUAAAUAAUCAGUCAAAACACCAAAAAAUAUGUAAAUAAGCAAAUAGAAAUCACGUUUGCAUUGUAGUCGAUGAUGCUUUUUAAUCUUUCUUUUAAAUCCUUUGCUAUGAUUGUCAUGUUAGGCUAAGUCAUUAUAGGAUAUAUCCUAUUGUCUCAUUUCCACUCAAUUGAACGGUUUGGUGCUUAAAGAUUUGAUCUUUAGUUUGAAUUUUUCUGAGCUCUUUUUGGGGGAUUAUAUUUCUUUCUUUAACUAGCAUGAUCAUGUGAUAAACUGAAGUAAAAUGGAAAUUAAUUAAUUAGAUUCGUAUAUAGGCUACAGGUUGGGUUGUAAGAACCUGCAGCUUUCACAUUCCACAAUCUACACCCUUCUACAUAUCAAUCUUACAACAAAAUUAAGGAUAUAAGCAUUUUUAUUACUUAUUAUGAUUAAUUAAUUAAGUAUCAAAUCAUGUUGUUUUUCAAGUCAAUAUUGUCAGGCCUGUUGUUUGACUAUACCCGUAACUGCUACCUUGCAGGCUUGAGUCAGAGGUUAUUGAGGAAAUUGUUAAGGACGUUCUUGGCAAAUUGAGAAAAUCAAGUUUAGCAUCAAGUGUAGCGAACAAUUUUGUUGGAAUGAGUUCACGUUUGGUGGAGAUGAGUAUGUAUUUAGACAUGGGGCAAUUGGAUGAUGUUCAGUUUAUUGGGAUUUGUGGGAUGGGUGGUAUAGGAAAGACAUCAAUUGCUAGAGUUGUCUAUGAGGAAUAAUCUUCUCAAUUUGAAGGUAGUAGCUUUCUUGCAAAUGUUAGAGAAGUGCACCAGAAGCAUGGUUUAGUUCCUUUACAAAAACAACUUCUUUCUGAAAUUCUAGUGGAUAGAAACAUAGUUAUUUGGGAUGCUCAUAGCGGAACUGAUGAGAUCCAGAAUAGGCUGCACCACAAGAGGGUUCUUGUCAUUCUUGAUGAUGUGAAUCAAUUGGAGCAGCUGAAAUUAUUAGCUGGUAUGCAUGAUUGGUUUGGCAGUGGGAGUAGGAUAAUUGUAACUACUAGAGAUGAACAUUUGUUGACGAGUCAUGGGGUAGAUAAAAUAUAUAGAGUUGAGGGAUUAAGUGAUGAUGAAGCCCUUCGUCUCUUUAGUUUGAAAGCCUUUAAAAGUGACUAUCCCGCAACUGAUUAUGUGGAGCUUUCUAAACUCUUUGUGAAUUAUUGUAAUGGCCUUCCAUUAGCUCUUGACGUUCUUGGCUCAUUCUUGUUUCGUAAAUCUAUAAAUGAGUGCAUAAGUGCAUUGAAUAGAUUGAAAAAAAAAUUCUAAUCAGGAAAUUUUGGAAAAGCUGUAUGUAAGUUUUGAUGGAUUGGAGGAAAUAGAGAAGAAAAUAUUCCCAGAUAUUGCUUGUUUGCACAAUGGAGAGGAUAAAGAUUAUGUGAUAAACGUAUUGGAAAGUUGCGGCUACUAUCCGGACAUUGGAAUAAAAAUUCUUAUCAAUAAAUCUCUCAUUAACAUUUCAAAAGAGAGAAUAUGGAUGCAUGAUUUACUGCAAGAAAUGGGUCAAGAAAUUGUUCGGCAAGCAUCGCAGGAAGAACCAGGCAAAAGAAGUAGAUUGUGGCUUUACAAGGAUGUCUUUCAUGUUCUACAGAAUGAUUCGGUAAAUGACUUAGUUUUAUAAGUCCUUCUCAAUCUAUACAGUUUUAUUAAUUAUUUUUUAUUCAUAGUGUUCGCUAUUAUUUCCUUUAAGUCAGGGAACAGAACAUGUUGAAGGAAUAGUCCUAAAUUCAUGUGAACAAGAAGAUGAGAAAUUGAAUGCUAAAGCCUUCAUGAAUAUGAAGAGACUGAGGUUGCUUAAACUUCAAAAUUUGCACCUUUCACAAAGCCUUGAGUAUCUUUCAAAUGAAUUAAGAUAUCUCGAAUGGGAUGGAUAUCCUUUCAGAUCUCUUCCAUAUAAGUUCCAGCCAGAUCAACUUGUUGAGCUCCACAUGCGCUUUAGUAACAUGGAGCAGUUAUGGAAGGGAAUCAAAGUAUGUUUUCUUUUUAAUGUUUAGAAUACUUGUAACUCAUAGUCAAUUAGGUCAUUGAUGCUAACUUUUAAAGCUUCAGCCAUUCUAAUCUUUUUUAUUUGUCUUCACAGCCUUUAAAGAUGUUGAAGGUUAUCGAUCUUAGUUACUCUGUUGACUUAAUCAAGACCAUAGACUUCAAGGAGGCCCCAAACGCUGAAAAGUUGUAUCUUGAAGGUUGCACAAGACUCUAUGAGGUUCACCAAUCCAUUGGAAUUCUGAAAAGGCUUGUAUCAUUGAACUUGAGGGACUGCAAAAGCCUUGCAAGGCUUCCAAACAGCAUAUGUGAUCUGAAGUCCCUUAGGUUUUUUAAUUUGCAAGGUUGCUCAAAACUUGAGAAGUUGCCAGAAAGGUUGGGUGAAAUGACAGGCUUGGAGAAGCUUAACGUAGGUGGAAUUGUCACAAGACAACAUUCAUCCCCUAAGCUGUGGGAUUUUCUUCUCCCAUCACGGUUUUUGCCAUGGAAGAAUCCAAAUCCAAUGGCUAUAAUGUUGCCUUCUUUGUUAGUCUUACUAUCUUUGAGGUCGUUAGAUCUAAGUUACUGCAAUCUGAUAGAAGGCGCUCUUCCCCAUGAUCUAAGUUGUUUCCCAUCUUUGAAAACACUCAAUCUAGGUGGAAAUGAUUUUCAUAGUAUCCCUUCAAGCAUUAGCCGGCUCUCUAAACGUGAGGAUUUUCGGUUUGCUGAUUGCAAGAGUCUUCAGGCUUUCCAAGCCUUCCAUCAAGCAUUUUAUAUAUUAGCAUGGAUGGUUGCACUGCCCUGGAAUCUUUACUACCUAGAAGCAUCAGCA